rnacentral:lncRNA from 1 species
CUCUACGCGUUUUGGUCCCUGUUUGGUGCUUUCUGUUUGCAGCUACGGCAGUGAGUAUGUAUGUGACGGACCCCGAGUCACCCGCGGCCUGGGACCCCUGCCUACCCUCCGUCUCGCCAGCCGAGCUGUGGAACUAGCGCGUGCCCCCUCGCCGACCUCGGCGUCUCCGGUCCGCCCCUCACUUGUGGUGGGGCGCAGCUCCUGGUCCCUCAGCUGCGCGCCGCCCCACGCGGCCGGGCUGCGGGUCUAGGGGGUCCGCAUCUCCCUGGCUUUCCAAGGGCUAAGGUCGUGAUUCUAGGGCGGCUGGGCGUCCAGGGCCUCGGUGGGGGUGGCGUGUCUGCCCUUUUUAUCUCCCCGCAAGGCCCCCAGUCUUCUAGGGAAGCCAGUCAGUGAAGCGCGGAGGUCCGGGCGCGCCGAGAGAGAGUCCAGUCUUUGAGGACCGAGUAGUCCUGGGCCACCUCCCGCCUCUGCUGUCAGAAGCAGCAGCUGCCGCCGUGGAAUCCAAAAUUUCGGGAGCUGUGACCCUUUCCUCAUGUAAAACGAGUAGUCUUGGACGGCUGGAGUGUAGUGGCGUGAUCAUAGCUCACUGUCAACUUUGAACACUUGGGCUCAAGCUAUCCUCCCUCAGCCUCCCAAGGUGGGAGGUACAGAUCUGGGCAUAGGAACCAAUCAGAAACAAUCGCUUCAGCAAUCAAGACCAUUGUUCAUCAUGGAGGAACCCAUGGAUACCUCUGAGCCUCUAUCUGCAUUACCAUUCACUGGGCAGCAGUCUUUUGAGCCAAGUGGCAAAUUUGGACAGUAUCCAUCGAUGCAGAUGAACCACAUCCAGGCACUGGGGAAGUGGAGGACAUAGAACAGCUCAAUCAGUGUUUGAUCCAACACUUCCAUCUCAUUAAGACAAGUUUGAUUUUUCUUUGCUUUUUAUUUCAUGGAAUACAUGAGAAUCUCUUAACUGUUGGAGUUUCCAAGGAGGCAUACCUCAUGACUUCA